UCCAGGGUAGCCUAGUGGACAUGGCAUCUGCCCGGUAAGCGGAACACUGUGGGUUCGAUUCCCAUCCUUGGAU
rnacentral:tRNA from 1 species